AGUGAACGCUGGCGGUAGGCCUAACACAUGCAAGUCGAACGGCAGCACAGUAAGCUCUUGCUCUUACGGGUGGCGAGUGGCGGACGGGUGAGGAAUACAUCGGCAUCUACUUUUUCGUGGGGGAUAACGUAGGGAAACUUACGCUAAUACCGCAUACGACCUACGGGUGAAAGCAGUGGAUCUUCGGACCUUGCGCGAUUGAAUGAGCCGAUGUCGGAUUAGCUAGUUGGCGGGGUAAAGGCCCACCAAGGCGACGAUCCGUAGCUGGUCUGAGAGGAUGAUCAGCCACACUGGAACUGAGACACGGUCCAGACUCCUACGGGAGGCAGCAGUGGGGAAUAUUGGACAAUGGGCGAAAGCCUGAUCCAGCCAUACCGCGUGGGUGAAGAAGGCCUUCGGGUUGUAAAGCCCUGUUGUUGGGAAAGAAAAGCAGCAGGUGAAUACCCCGCUGUUCUGACGGUACCCAAAGAAUAAGCACCGGCUAACUUCGUG
rnacentral:rRNA from 1 species